rnacentral:rRNA from 1 species
UACGUAGGGUGCAAGCGUUGUCCGGAAUUAUUGGGUGUAAAGAGCUCGUAGGCGGUCUGUCGCGUCUGCUGUGAAAACUCAGGGCUUAACCCUGAGCUUGCAGUGGGUACGGGCAGACUAGAGUGCGGUAGGGGGAGACUGGAAUUCCUGGUGUAGCGGUGAAAUGCGCAGAUAUCAGGAGGAACACCGGUGGCGAAGGCGGGUCUCUGGGCCGUAACUGACGCUGAGGAGCGAAAGCAUGGGGAGCGAACAGG